UUCUUUUUGCCACUUCAGUUGUGUCACAAAUGAUACUAGAUUGUCGAAAUUCCAGCGCGCGCUGUUACAGAACAUCCCAUAAACUCCGGAGUACGACGCCACACGCCAUAAACUCCACUCAAAUAUACCUUCCAAACCAGGCUGCUAAAGUGCUAAUUGUGCACUGAAAUGCACAUAACAGCGAAAUUAAGUUGGAAUAGUGUGUAACCUCUACUAACAUCACAGCUUGCCGUAAAAUAAAUACUGAACACUCUUCAAAUCAUGACGGCAGAAGAACCAGCACUGACUGGAAGGCAAUCAGCACCCUUCAAAUCAUAAAAUCAGGAGACCAUUUACUUAUACUGACAUGUUCUUAGAACAAUUUCCACUCACCUUGUUAUGACUUCAUGGAGUCUGCUUGCAACAUCGUACCACAACGGUGUACCCACUGCAAUACCUAAACAUACUGCUUGUUGAUCCAAAAAGCAAAAGUCAUAUCUCUCAUUGAAGUAACCUCCACAUUGCCAAAUUGGACAAGUCGGAUUGCAAUUUCUUGUUCUAGUAACAAAUACCGUUCCCUCUUAGUUUUGUACUCCAAUUCCAUAUUAUAACACGUUUUGGCUUUUUUAGACAGCUUUUGGAUAUCUAUGUCUAAUGUAUAGUAAAAUCAAUCUAUCUAAAAGGCCGUUUGGUUACAUGGACUAAUGUCACUAAUCUUUAGUAUAGUUUUUAGUCCCGUUUAGUCUUUUUUUUACCAAACGGGAGGACUAAAGUAUUGACUAAUUGGCUUUAGUCUCUAGUCCUUCACAUGGCUGCUAAAAGGGACUAAAUGACAUCAUUUACACUAAUUACCCUUGCAUAGAGAAUCUGCACCGCACGCAAGCAAUAAGGAGAGGGGCAUUUUAGGCUUUGUGUACUUCAUUUAAUGUGUUUAGAAUCUAUUUAGUCUCUAAAACCAAACAGGAUAGAACUUAAGUUUAGUUUCUGGACUAAACUUUAGUCUUAGGACUAAUGGAACCAAACGGGACCUAAAAACCCAAAACGCCUACCUAAUAGCUGCUGUAUAUAUCAUGCUGCAAAAUUCCAAUUAAAUGUGUGUAUUACCAACACAUAUCAGUUAAGAUUUAUCCUGAUGUGUUCACUGAUAAUAUAACAUGUGCUUUUCCUCGUAGUUUUGGCAAAGGGAGGCAGCAAGCUUGAGACAACAACUGCACAACUUGCAAGAAAAUUAUCGGUAUGGUUUGAAACCCCUGCACAAGUUUUGAGCAAGCUAUUCAUUAGAAACUUGACUACUCAGAGACAGAAGUACAAUGCACAAGCAUGCAACAUCCAAAUGCUGCUACAACUAUUGCACAUUCAUAGGUACAAAAACAAUUAGCAAGAGCCAAAUUAUCAUGUGAAAGGCUAGACAGUAGACACCAAAAUAUUUCAUACGAGAUAAGUUGAGCAAGUGGAAGUUAUUCUAUGGCCAACAAUAAAACAAAAACAGGGCUAUCACAGCUAAACUACUUCCCCUGCUUCAUUUUAGAGGUGCAUUAGGAUUCAAAUAAGGCUUUAAGUGUACUUUGACCAUAAAUUUCUCUUAGGCCCCGUUUGUUUCGUUGGAAUUGAAUUCCAUUUUAAUAAUUAUAAUUUAGACAAAACUAAUUAAGUUUAUAUAUUUAUAUAUGUAAUAUAUUUGUAUAUUAUCCUAAAUCAUAUGAGAGAGAUAGUUAUAUACUACAUUUAUGUUAUAGCGAAACAAGUAUAAGAGUAUGCUAUAAGUUGUACAUCGGAAAAAUAACAUGUAAAUCUAUAGAAUCAAUUUCUAUCUCCCACUCCAUGAAUUUGAGAUAGACUUAUAUGAUAACUUUGGAAAGUGGUAGAAUGUCACAUUCUAAAAAAAAUAGACUGUUCUAUUAGUAAGAUUCUAAUUCCUCAAAAUGAAAGGAAACAAACGGGACAUUACAAUAAACGAAACCCAGAAAAAUCAAUGUUGUUUUCAAAGCUUUGUGAGAUAUGAAUAUGAUAGAUUUUUCAUACACUAAGCCUGCGUAUAAUUUUAUUAACUGUCAGUCAAAUUUUGUAAAACAGCCUUUUCCCAUAAAAAAAAGAGUAUAUCAAAACAUAUUCUGAUGAUGCUCUAGAUAUAUAUACACAAAACACUGAUGCCAAACCACAUAUAUCAAAAAUUGACAAACAUCAUGGCUAGUCUCUGUAGAAUUGUAUAAAACACUACAUUAAUUGGUACUGCAUAUUAAUUGGUUAUUACAGGCAGUUGAUGGGAGAGGAUCUUUCUGGGCUGAAUGUUAAAGAACUGCAGUCCCUAGAGAAUCAGUUGGAGACAAGCCUGCGUGGUGUCCGCACAAAGAAGGUUCGGUUCUUAAUCAAAUUUCUAUAAUCAGUUGUUUAACAAAUUACUAAAGAUCGUUAGUACUGUUGGUGCUCUUAACAGGACCAUCUCUUGAUAGAUGAGAUCCACGAAUUGAAUCGAAAGGUCUGCAGUAUGAUGACUUUAUAACUGUGUUAAGUGUUUUAUUUGGUUUAGUAACACUGACUAACUACUUUGUUGGUCGCAGGCAAGUUUAUUUCACCAAGAAAACACAGACUUGUACAAUAAGAUCAACCUGAUUCACCAAGAAAAUGCUGAAUUACAUAAAAAGGUAGCUGAUGAACUGAACGAACUGAACAAAAAUAUCACUAAGUAACCACAUAUAUGACAUGAUAUUAACUGUUGUCAGAUCUAUGAGACUGAAGGACCAAGUGGAGUUAAUCGGGAGCCACCAACUCCAUUCAACUUUGCAGUAGUAGAAACCAGAGAUGUUCCUGUGCAACUUGGACUCAGCACACUGCCCCAACAGAACAACAUUGAGCCAUCAACUGCUCCUAAGCUAGGGUAUAUAUUCUUUCUAUAUAUAUUUCUAUUGGUUAAUUAGUGUCCACUACAGUGCUAUAAUGAGUUGCUAAACACAUGCAGAUUGCAAUUAAGCCCAUGAAUAAGAGUAAAACUGGCGUCUUAUGAUCCCGAAGGAAACUAUUUAUUGUAAAGAGAUGAUACUCAGAGUAAGACAUAUUUGUGGCAGGGAGAUUUGAAAUAUGAACUUGUAAAUGUAAUGCAAAUAAUUUCCAGACUGGAAUUGGGCCGUGGAAUUCAGAGGAUGAUUGCAUUCUAGUUGCAUUUGAUGUUUGAUGAUACUUAUCAUAUUAAAAGUUUAAAACUUUAAAAGGGUGCAAAGAUUGCUACUACACUUGCUAGGCUUGUAUAAACAUCUGACCAUAUGUACUAGUAUUAGGAAAACAGAAAAGAAGGCAGACAGCUGUCGAACAUCUCCAUGUGUUUCUAAAAGGAAAUGUUUCAAUAGGGGACAAUGAUGCUACCUCAGAGUACAAACAGAGUCUAGUCUCCACUCAAUUGAGUUUUAUAUUCCUCUCAAGUGUUAUCAAGGGUUUUAGUAGGACACAGGGUAUUGGUCAUUUGUCGAGCCUGUGCUUAUUUGAGGUACUGGGCAGCUUUAUACAAUUACAAAUCAGGGCUAAAGGAAACUACCGUGAAAGGGAUGGGCGUCAUUCCACAGGCAACCAUCAGGAUCAUGACAUCGCAGGUGCAGGUACAGGUGCAUGACAUUGAAUCUGAUCUCCUUAAGUGCUAGAAAGCAAGCUACAGUGUCCAGGUUGAGCGUGAAGCAGGAUACAAAGCUCUAGCCAUUGCCAAGAUCAUGUGGAUACAGAAAUUGUUGACUGCAUUGGGCAUAGAACAUCCACAGAUGGCUCGUCUAUGGAGUGAUAACCUGGGGGCUAGGUAUUUGUUGUCAAAUCCUAUCUUCCAUGCUCGGGCUGGGCAGAUCGAGCCCUCAGGGUGGAGCUGUAGAGAGUGGUAGCAGCGCCAAAGCGAGGAGACACCACCUUAGUGAGCUCCUCGAGGAUGAGGUAAUCGCGGACCUUAUGGAAACACGGAAACGGGACUGAGCUAGUGAUAAGUCCAAAGGUAAUCAUAGCACUCGUUGAGGCUGUAGAAAAGGUUGAGAACGAGCGUGCGAUCGGAGACUGGCUCCCCGAGAUCACAGACGGAGGCAGUCAUGCCUUUCAUCUGGCGGCAAUACUCAGUGACAGAGAGGUCCCCCUGGACCAAAGUCUAAAAGGAGACGUCGAGUUGGAGUGCACGAGCCUCACGGUUAUCGAGGAAUUGUUCCUCGACAUCAACCUAGGUCUGGCAGACAGUGCCGCCACCCUCACGAAUGACAUCUUGUAGCUCAAGAGUGACUGUCCUGAGGAUCCAAGAGAGGAUCACACUAUCCAUCCAUCGAGUGUUUACAAGUCGUCCGACUAAUCGUGAUUAAUCGCGAUUAGUCGGGCUGGUCUCCUAGAAGAGGGCGAUUAGGUGGACGACGUGAUUAGGAUUUCAAGUCGUCCGACUAGUCGUCGACCUGGGCGAUUAGUCGUCCGGUCGAACGCUUCCUGGUCGUUUCUUGUCGUCGCAAUUUUGGUACUGGGCUUCACUCUAGUUUUUGGUCCAUCUACAGUAGCCCGAAAACAUGGUGCUGCUGCUGAUGCAUUUUGUUUGGAUGCUGAUCUGCUCUAGGUAGCAGCCAACAGGUAAUGCAGUACUUUUUACUGAAUUACUGCUAGUAAUUAUACCUAUAUUACUUUCAGUUUGGACUUUGGAUGGAUUCAGUUUUACACUUUGAAUUACUGCUAGUCUUCUACUAAUUAUGUCUAUAUUAUUGCAGAAAUGCAGUGCUUAUAUAGUUAUAUACAUAUACAUAUGUCCAUAAAUCUAUAGGACGACUAACGGACGACCAGAGGUCGACUAGAACCGAUUAGUCGACCUAAUCGUCGCCCUAAUCGCGAUUAGGCGUCUGGUCGCUGCUCUAACUCGACCAGCUGGUCGCCCGACUUGUAAACAUUGCAUCCAUCACCAGGCGGGGAUAGUGAUGGUCGCUAUGAUGGUGAGGACGUGGUCGUCUAGGACGUAUCCCUACAUGGUGAGGAGGACAAGGUCGUGCCAAUGAGUAUAGGUGGAGGAAGCCACGUCAAGGAUGAUGGGGACCAUAGAGCGGAUGUUCUAGAUACAUGCCGCCAGGGCAUGGUGGUUGUAAUGACGGCAGCCUCGUACGCCAAAAGGGAGUCGACCACUAGGGGCUCCAAGAGAGGGUCAAGGUAGGGAGAGCCGAGCAAAUGGCGCUCAGCCUCGACAAGCUGUCUGGCAAGGGUAUCAGCAGUGGUGUGCUCGUGUUCCUAUGUGAGAGCAGCAUCGCGUUCGCGCUCCCGGGUAGCAGCGACAACAGCCUUAGCAGUCGUGAGAGCCGUAACCAGGUUGGAGUGAGCAGUCAUGACGUCGGGUGCGAAAUAGGAUGGGGCGAUUAGGCUAUCCGCAACUGUUACCCCUAAAUUUUUCCCACUAUAUCACUUUUUCCCCUAUUUUUUCAUCUCCCGCAGCGGUUCCCCCUAAAUACUCCCCCUAUACCCCACUACAACUAUAAAAUAUCAUUUUCUAUAUCAACUAUCAAUUUUUUAUCUACUAACAAUUACUCGUGGACCCACAGCACAGUGUUUGGGGGAUGAACAGUGACACGCUAUAUCUGGGGGGAGAGAGAAGGGGGCCGGCGCGUAGGGGGCGCUGUAGGAGGCAGCGCUGCGGCUGUAGAGUGCCCCCUACAGGCGCCAUGCAAGGGGAGGGGGCUGCCCAGGGGGCAGCGUUGCAGUUAGCCUUAGAUACAGGUCAGUGGCGCCGAGGCCGAGGCCAUCCAGGCCCAUGCCUAGGCUAGAGGCGGCCAGGCCGGCUGGGACCAGACAAGAGGUGACUAGGCUAGUUGUACCUAGGACGGGGGAGGCCUGGCCGGCAGCGCCCACGACGAGGGCGGCAAGGCAGGUAGCGCUAGCGGCCACGUCAAGGGUGGCCAAGCCUGCAACACCCAGGCCAGGGCCAGCCGAGGGGUAGGCAGCUGCUGAGGGUCGGGGAAGGGAAGACUAGCCGCAACAAGGACCAACACUAGGGUAUAGGAGAGGAAAGAGGGGGAGAGAGCCGACCGGAGGGAGAGGAAGGCAGUCUAGCAAUUUAACAUUUCAGAACACAUCAAACACUAUCUCCAAACCAACACAAACCAUGCAAAUAAUAAUAAUAAUAAUAAUAAUAAUAAUAAUAACAACAACAACAACAACAAUAAUAAUAAUAAUAAUAAUAAUAAUAAUAAUAAUAAUAAUAAUAAUAAUAAUAAUGUGGAUAAUUAUUCCACCAUCGUUCUUCUUUAAACAAUUCCAAGAUAAAUCACAACAAUGAAUCAAAAGUAAUUUUGCAAUUCAGUCAUUUUCUAAUACAUAAUGUGAGUGAUUAUCAAAUAAUUACUUACAAUUUUCUUGCAAUAUAUGCAGUUGCUGCCUCUAGCUUCUCAUCACGCCUUGCAUCAAU
rnacentral:lncRNA from 1 species